AGCUGUGUAGGCGAACCUUGCGAAGUGAAACAUCUCAGUAGCAAGAGGAAAGGAAAUCAAUUGAUACUCCCCUAGUAGCGGCGAGCGAACGGGGACUAGCCCAGUGGCUGGAGUGUAAGAAGCAGAAGUGUAUGGAAAUGCACACCAAAGUAGGUGAUAGUCCUGUAUGCGUAGAAAGCACCCCAGUCCUUGAGUAGGACAGAACACGUGUAAUUUUGUCUGAACAUGGGGGGACCAUCCUCCAAGGCUAAGUACUCCUGAUCGACCGAUAGCGAACUAGUACCGUGAGGGAAAGGUGAAAAGAACCCCGAUGAGGGGAGUGAAACAGACCUGAAACCGGAUGCUUACAAACAGAUGGAGCACGCUUGUCGUGUGACAUCGUACCUUUUGUAUAAUGGGUCAGCGAGUUAGUCUCGCAUGCAAGCUUAAGCCGUUAGGUGGAGGCGUAGGGAAACCGAGUCUGAAUAGGGCGAACAGUAUGCGGGAUUAGAUCCGAAACCCGGUGAUCUAGAUAUGGACAGGCUGAAGUUACAGUAACAUGUAAUGGAGGGCCGAACCCACUUAUGUUGAAAAAUGAGGGGAUGAUCUGUGUCUAGGGGUGAAAGGCCAAUCAAACCGGGUGAUAGCUGAUUCUCCGCGAAAUCUAUUUAGGUAGAGCGUCAGAUGAAUACCUCAGGGGGUAGAGCACUGGAUGGGCUAGGGGGGCGCGAGCCUUACCAAACCUAACCAAACUCCGAAUACCUGAGAGUAAUAUUUGGCAGACACACCAUGGGUGAUAAGGUCCAUGGUGGAAAGGGAAACAGCCCAGACCUACAGCUA
rnacentral:rRNA from 1 species